rnacentral:tRNA from 1 species
GCCUGGGUGGCUCAGUCGGUUGAGCAUCUGACUUCGGCUCAGGUCAUGAUCUUGUGGUUCAUGAGUUCGAGCCCCACAUCAGGCU